rnacentral:rRNA from 1 species
CGGUGAGCCAGCUUGCUUGGUGGAUCAGUGGCGAACGGGUGAGUAACACGUGAGCAACCUGCCCUGGACUCUGGGAUAAGCGCUGGAAACGGCGUCUAAUACUGGAUAUGAGCUCUCAUCGCAUGGUGGGGGUUGGAAAGAUUUUUUCGGUUUGGGAUGGGCUCGCGGCCUAUCAGCUUGUUGGUGAGGUAAUGGCUCACCAAGGCGUCGACGGGUAGCCGGCCUGAGAGGGUGACCGGCCACACUGGGACUGAGACACGGCCCAGACUCCUACGGGAGGCAGCAGUGGGGAAUAUUGCACAAUGGGCGCAAGCCUGAUGCAGCAACGCCGCGUGAGGGAUGACGGCCUUCGGGUUGUAAACCUCUUUUGGUAGGGAAGAAGCCUUCGGGUGACGGUACCUGCAGAAAAAGCGCCGGCUAACUACGUGCCAGCAGCCGCGGUAAUACGUAGGGCGCAAGCGUUAUCCGGAAUUAUUGGGCGUAAAGAGCUCGUAGGCGGUCUGUCGCGUCUGCUGUGAAAUUCCGAGGCUCAACCUCGGGCUUGCAGUGGGUACGGGCAGACUAGAGUGCGGUAGGGGAGAUUGGAAUUCCUGGUGUAGCGGUGGAAUGCGCAGAUAUCAGGAGGAACACCGAUGGCGAAGGCAGAUCUCUGGGCCGUUACUGACGCUGAGGAGCGAAAGGGUGGGGAGCAAACAGGCUUAGAUACCCUGGUAGUCCACCCCGUAAACGUUGGGAACUAGUUGUGGGGUCCUUUCCACGGAUUCCGUGACGUAGCUAACGCAUUAAGUUCCCCGCCUGGGGAGUACGGCCGCAAGGCUAAAACUCAAAGGAAUUGACGGGGACCCGCACAAGCGGCGGAGCAUGCGGAUUAAUUCGAUGCAACGCGAAGAACCUUACCAAGGCUUGACAUACACCAGAACGGGCCAGAAAUGGUCAACUCUUUGGACACUGGUGAACAGGUGGUGCAUGGUUGUCGUCAGCUCGUGUCGUGAGAUGUUGGGUUAAGUCCCGCAACGAGCGCAACCCUCGUUCUAUGUUGCCAGCACGUUAUGGUGGGAACUCAUGGGAUACUGCCGGGGUCAACUCGGAGGAAAGGUGGGGAUGACGUCAAAUCAUCAUGCCCCUUAUGUCUUGGGCUU